GAUCAUGGCUCAGGAUGAACGCUAGCUACAGGCUUAACACAUGCAAGUCGAGGGGAAACGAUAGAGAAAGCUUGCUUUUCUAGGCGUCGACCGGCGCACGGGUGAGUAACGCGUAUCCAACCUGCCCAUCACUUGGGGAUAACCUUGCGAAAGUAAGACUAAUACCCAAUGACGUCUCUAGAAGACAUCUGAAGGAGAUUAAAGAUUUAUCGGUGAUGGAUGGGGAUGCGUCUGAUUAGCUUGUUGGCGGGGUAACGGCCCACCAAGGCGACGAUCAGUAGGGGGUUCUGAGAGGAAGGUCCCCCACAUUGGAACUGAGACACGGUCCAAACUCCUACGGGAGGCAGCAGUGAGGAAUAUUGGUCAAUGGGCGAGAGCCUGAACCAGCCAAGUAGCGUGAAGGAUGAAGGUCCUACGGAUUGUAAACUUCUUUUAUACGGGAAUAAAGUAUCCUACGUGUAGGAUUUUGUAUGUACCGUAUGAAUAAGCAUCGGCUAACUCCGUG
rnacentral:rRNA from 1 species